rnacentral:sRNA from 2 species
CAAUGCAUUUGGCCCUUCCUAACCACCCUGAUGGGCCUGAGCACAAACAUGGCAUACAUAGGUCAAGAGAUAGACAUGUUUCUCAAUCCCGGAGCGCUCAAUCCACUAGUUCUGGCUUGAGUUUCGUCCAUCUCCCCCUUACGGAGUAGUAAAAAUUCAGAGGGUGUUCUUAGCUAUUGUCCAAGUAGGGCAAGAGUUGAACAAAUUGGAUAUGGCAGACUUGUUCGAGGAAGCUGAAACCAGAAUGGGUGAACUUCGGCGAAGUUGUAUGAUUAGUGUUCCGUAGCGUGGAGCGCUACAACAAGCGUUCGGGAUCCAAGAUUUGGAUUCAGCUAAUGAGAACCAACGACACAACGCCCCCCCUUGGCCAAGAGUGAAAAAAGCAAAUAAUCGAACAGAAAAGAAAGGAAAAUGGAAUCAUGAGAACUCCUAUGUCUGAUGGCUCGUCGGCUGAUUAGACUUCUCCAUCUCCAAUAGACCGUCCUCUCGGUGAGCUUGCGUAAAGAAGAAGCAGCUCAGAUGGGUUUGAAAAACAGAUGCGCAAGGAGGAAGUAAAAUACGCAGCAAGCUUUGUGGAGAAGAAUUGAUAGACAUCGCAUCCGUGCAUUGCUUGACUGCUUCGGGUGUUUGUAUUGAACUGUAACAGACUCCUGGGGAGAUUGUGUCACGCGGAUCACAGUAGUUUUCCUUUGCCAAUCUAGCGAUGUAUUUCCAGUAAUGGUAAAUAUGGUCCUAGGGCGGAGCGCGCUUGUCUUGACAUAUAUAUAUAUAUAUAUAAAAUUGAAAAUGAAUAGAUAUAUAUAUAUAUAUAUAUCCUGGAGGGAAACAAAAACAAACAAACCAA